rnacentral:rRNA from 1 species
CAAGUCGAGCGAGAAUCGUAGCAAUACGAGGACAGCGGCGAAAGGGAGAGGAAUACGUAGAUAUCUGCCCCUGAGACCGGGAUAGCGUCGGGAAACUGGCAGUAAUACCGGAUAACGUCUUUGGACCAAAGGUGUGAUUCCGCUCGGGGAUGAGUCUACGCCCUAUUAGCUAGUUGGUGGGGUAAUGGCCUACCAAGGCGAUGAUGGGUAGCGGGUGUGAGAGCAUGAUCCGCCUCACUGGGGCUGAGAACUGCCCAGACACCUACGGGUGGCUGCAGUCGAGAAUCUUUGUCAAUGGACGAAAGUCUGAACAAGCGACGCCGCGUGCGGGAUGAAGGCCUUCGGGUUGUAAACCGCUGUCGUAGGGGAACAAAUGUAGAGGGGUUCUCCCCUUUAUUUGAGUGAUCCUAGGAGGAAGGAGAGGCUAAGCUCGUGCCAGCAGCCGCGGUAAGACGAGCUCUCCAAACGUUAUUCGGAAUCACUGGGCUUAAAGAGUUCGUAGGCGGCUCAGCAGGUCAGGUGUGAAAUCCCACAGCUCAACUGUGGAACUGCGUUUGAAACCGCUGGGCUUGAGGGAGACAGAGGUAAGCGGAACAGAUGGUGGAGCGGUGAAAUGCGUUGAUAUCAUCUGGAACACCGGUGGCGAAAGCGGCUUACUGGGUCUCUUCUGACGCUGAGGAACGAAAGCUAGGGUAGCAAACGGGAUUAGAUACCCCGGUAGUCCUAGCCGUAAACGAUGAGCACUAGUCUGUGGGGACCCUCACAUCCUCUCGGACGUAGCGAAAGUGUUAAGUGCUCCGCCUGGGGAGUAUGGUCGCAAGGCUGAAACUCAAAGGAAUUGACGG